GGGUGAGUAAUGCUUGGAUAAUCUGCCCUGGAGAUUGGGACAACCUCGGGAAACUGAGGCUAAUACCGGAUAAGCUCACGAAUGGAGACAUUUGGGAGAAAAGAUGGGGAUCGCAAGACCUAUCACUUCAGGAUGAGUUCAAGUCCUAUCAGCUUGUUGGUGAGGUAAAGGCUCACCAAGGCGAUGACGGGUAGCCGACCUGAGAGGGUGAUCGGCCACACUGGAACUGAGACACGGUCCAGACUCC
rnacentral:rRNA from 1 species